rnacentral:rRNA from 1 species
UUCCGGUUGAUCCUGCCGGACCUGACUGCUAUCGGAUUGAUACUAAGCCAUGCGAGUCUUUGCAGUAAUGCAAGGCAUACGGCUCAGUAACACGUAGUCAACUUACCCUAUGGACGAGGAUAAUCUCGGGAAACUGAGCAUAAUACUCGAUAGAUCAUAAUGCCUGGAAUGGUUUAUGGUUAAAAUGAUUCGUCGCCAUAGGAUGGGACUGCGGCCUAUCAGCUUGUUGGUGAGGUAAUGGCCACCAAGGCGAUUACAGGUACGGGCUCUGAGAGGAGAAGCCCGGAGAUGGGUACUGAGACAAGGACCCAGGCCCUAUGGGGCGCAGCAGGCGAGAAAACUUUGCAAUGUGCGAAAGCACGACAAGGUUAAUCCGAGUGAUUUCUGCUAAAGAGAUCUUUUGCAAGUCAUAAAACCACUAGUGAAUAAGGGGUGGGCAAGUUCUGGUGUCAGCCGCCGCGGUAAAACCAGCACCUCAAGUGGUCAGGAGGAUUAUUGGGCCUAAAGCAUCCGUAGCCGGCUCUGUAAGUUUUCGGUUAAAUCCAUGUGCUCAACACAUGGGCUGCCGAAAAUACUGCAUAGCUAGGGAGUGGGAGAGGUAGACGGUACUCGGUAGGAAGGGGUAAAAUCCUUUGAUCUAUCGAUGACCACCUGUGGCGAAGGCGGUCUACCAGAACACGUUCGACGGUGAGGGAUGAAAGCUGGGGGAGCAAACCGGAUUAGAUACCCGGGUAGUCCCAGCUGUAAACGAUGUAGACUCGAUGAUGCAUUGGCAUAUAGCCAGUGCAGUGUCGCAGGGAAGCCGUUAAGUCUGCCGCCUGGGAAGUACGUACGCAAGUAUGAAACUUAAAGGAAUUGGCGGGGGAGCACCACAAGGGGUGAAGCCUGCGGUUCAAUUGGAGUCAACGCCGGG